rnacentral:lncRNA from 1 species
UAGCGAGAUACACUCUCUAUGCAUAUAUGUUUAUAGAUACAGAUAUACUUACAUGUCUAAAAAUCACGUUUAUUUAACUGUAAGCUCCUGAAGUGAGAAAGCAAGCAAUCUAAAAUAUUUAUGUCCACUAUGCAACUGCUAACAAAAUAACUCUUCUUUGACAUCAGUCUUCAGGACUUCCAGCACUUCAGCUUUGCCAUUUUUACAAUGGCUUUGUAGUAAAAGUAGUGCAAACCUUCUAAAAUCAACACAAUAAGUAACCUGGGGAGUAGGAGGUAAACUAAAUGAAGGUCAUCUUUCUACAUACAGAUGUAACCACAGAGCUAGGUGACAUAUUAAUAUUCACUGUAGUUUCAUUUUAAACCUCUGGGAGUUCAUUAGCUUCCCUCUUAUAUGUUAUUGUUCAAAUCCUGCCUAUGACAGAGCAAACAGAAAAGAUAACAAAAAUGAUUGAAUAGAAGGUAUUUUCCAGGUUGUGAAAAUGCAGCUGAAGUAAUACUGUGCUCUGCUGGGCUUCUCAUAUUUUGUUGUAUUACAGGAUAGAUGCAGAAAAUAAGAUGGUUCUCCCUCUUGAGGAAAAAAAACAUUUAUUAUGAGAAUGAAUGCACCAGUCAGAAAUCUGAGUAAAAAGACUUUCACAUGCCACAGAGACUCCCAAGCUACUACUUUCUUCUUGAAGAAUUUUUCCUUCGUCAAGGUAAGUUUAAUAAACUGUUUAUAUU